rnacentral:lncRNA from 1 species
AGCCUGUUUUCCCCACUUUUGUCGUUUUAAGUCAAUAGAUUUCCCGGGUUUCUUCCCCAUCCCCCCACUUUGCCUUUUCAGGGGAUAGGCAUCUCCUUAGAUUUUUGUUUUCCUUCAAUUAGGGUCAGCUUUAUGAUUUGUUCUUCCACUGUCAUCCUUUUUCAUCCUAUUCACAGCCUGUACCGGUGAGGGAAUUUGUCUCAAAAGCAUUCAGCCCUUCAAAGAUUUUUAUUGUGGUGAACUCAGAACUGAUUAACAGAAAAACAGAAACAGAAAAAGGGAACUGAUAUGGGGGCGAUCUUGAUGCGGGUUGCGUCUCUCAUGCAUGAUAACUCAGAGGACAGGCUCCUCGGUAGUGCGGUAGUGCUAGUGCUGUGAAGUUUUUUCACCCUCCUUCCUAGCCCUGGAGGCGGGGUGAUUCAUAGCUCCUGUUCCAAAGGCAUUCAGCAGCCAUUCGACCUGGGAAAGAAAUAGAGUUUUAGAAAAUACAGGCCAAACGUAGAGACGCCUGUGAUUACCAGGAUGAGUAUGUCAGUGCAGGUGGCUUCUGAAUUUCUGUUUCUGAGUUUGUUUGGCUGCCUGAGUAAAGGGGUCCCUUACAGCCCUGUUUUAUACCUUAGUUUUUGGUGACAACGUGGGUGUUGCUGAUCUCUCUGAUGUGUUUUUCUGUGCAUUGAAAACACCAGACAGGCUCCGUGACAUCCUCGCAGCAUCUCCCAUCAUAAUGGAGUGUUCCUAAUCUGACAAAGAAUAGAAUAUUACCUCCCCAUCUACUCAAAAUUAUAGUAAAAUUUA